UCUCUCAGCUAGGAUCAGCAGUAACAUCAUGUCAAUACUUCGAAGAAAUCAGUUUUUAAGGAAGUCUCUCCUUACUGACUGUAUAAAUCAUUUGGACUUUCGAAUUUACAAUUUUAAGAACUAUUCCAGAGUUUGGCUGUUUGCUAAAUUGCCGUAUAGCAGUUAACUUCCGGUUAGGUGGAAAGGACCCUACCAAGUGCUGCUUGUUGACUGCACUGCCGUUAAACUACAAGGAAAAAGAGGACUGGGUUCAUGCCACCCACUGUAAGAGUUACUCACCUCUCGACCCACCGUGCCCAAUUGACAGCCACAGGAAACCGACAUCUGAACCCUGUGCACAAGACAAGCAAUGCAGCCCUGAAACCCGCUGAUGCCAGAGGUGGAAAGGUCUGUAUACUGUGUUAUUGACCACCUGAACUGCCCUCAAGGUAGACGGUAAAGACGACUGGGUCCAUGCGGCAAGGUGUAAACGGCACCAUCCACCGGAAAUGAAGCCAAACUAAAUCUGAAACCAUCUCACUGAA